GGCAGCUCAACUGAUUCACAAGAAACCACUAGAAAGAUUUCAGGAUAAGAUUUAAGCAUACCCUAAAUUAAAUGCUUAAAGAUAAAAAUUAUGUGAUAUAAAUGAUACAGCUUGAAAUGUAUGGCAGCCUUAUAGAUCUUCAUAAAGAGAGCAAACAUGCACAUGAGUGAAUGAGUAAGUGUGUAAGAAUUCAUAAGUAAAAAUUUAUAGGUGGAAAAUUAAAUCUUAAGAUGUUCUCUUGGAUUUGAUAUUUUGCCAAACUGUUCUUUAGGAUUUUACCAACUCAUUGGAGAAAA
rnacentral:lncRNA from 1 species